rnacentral:rRNA from 1 species
UACGGGGGGAGCAAGCGUUGUUCGGAUUUACUGGGCGUAAAGGGCGCGUAGGCGGCUUCGCUAGUCGGGCGUGAAAUGCCUGGGCUUAACCCGGGAAUUGCGUUCGAUACUUCGAGGCUAGAGUGUGGGAGAGGUUGGUGGAAUUCCCAGUGUAGAGGUGAAAUUCGUAGAUAUUGGGAAGAACACCGGUGGCGAAGGCGGCCAACUGGACCACAACUGACGCUGAGGCGCGAAAGCGUGGGGAGCAAACAGG